AUUGAACGCUGGCGGCAGGCCUAACACAUGCAAGUCGAGCGAGCGGCGGACGGGUGAGUGAUGUAUGGGGACUGCCCGAUAGAGGGGGAUAACUAAUGGCAACGGUAGCUAAUUCCGCAUAUUAUCUGAGAACGCACAUGGGAUGAGCUAGUAGGUGGUGUAGUGGUUCACCUAGGCGACGAUCCCUAGCUGGUCUGAGAGGAUGCUCAGCCACACUGGGACUGUGACACGGCCCGUACUCCUCCGGAGGCAGCAGUGGGGAAUAUUGCACAAUGGGCGCAAGCCUGAUGCAGCCAUGCCGCGUGUAUGAAGAAGGCCCUAGGGUUGUAAAGUACUUUCAGUCGGGAGGCGUUACCGACAGAAGAAGCACCGGCUAACUCCGUGCCAGCAGCCGCGGUAAUAC
rnacentral:rRNA from 1 species